rnacentral:rRNA from 1 species
AUCGAACGCUGGCGGCAGGCCUAAUACAUGCAAGUCGAGCGAGCGGCGGACGGGUGAGUACUGUCUGGGAAACUGCCUGAUGGAGGGGGAUAACUACUGGAAACGGUAGCUAAUACAGCAUACCAUCAGAUUUGCUCAGAUGGGAUUAGCGAGUAGGUGGGGGAACGGCUCACCUAGGCGAAGAUCCCUAGCUGGUCUGAGAGGUUGACCAGCCACACUGGAACUGGGACACGGUCCAGACUCCUACGGAAGGCAGCAGUGGGGAAUAUUGCACAAUGGGCGAAAGCCUGAUGCAGCAAUGCCGCGUGUGUGAAGAAGGCCUUCGGGUUGUAAAGCACUUUCGGCGGGGAGGCGUUACCCGCAGAAGAAGCACCGGCUAACUACGUGCCAGCAGCCGCGGUAAUAC